AUGAACGCCGAAGACAGCAGGUGCCCUUGCGGCAUAAGUGUGAUCACGCCUGCCGAGGAAGUAUAUUCGAAUUGAAUUUUGGAUAUUUAUGACCUCUUCUGUCCAUUGGCAGAGGAGUUUUUUUCAUU
rnacentral:sRNA from 1 species